UACAGAGGGUGCGAGCGUUAAUCGGAAUUACUGGGCGUAAAGCGCACGUAGGUGGCGACGUAAGUCGGGUGUGAAAGCCCCGGGCUCAACCUGGGAAUUGCAUUCGAGACUGCAUUGCUGGAGUACGGAAGAGGAGGGCGGAAUUCCAGGUGUAGCGGUGAAAUGCGUAGAUAUCGGGAGGAACAUCAGUGGCGAAGGCGGCCCCCUGGUCCAGUACUGACACUCAAGUGAGAAAGCGUGGGGAGCAAACAGG
rnacentral:rRNA from 1 species